rnacentral:rRNA from 1 species
GACGAACGCUGGCGGCGUGCCUAAUACAUGCAAGUUGAGCGAUGAAGAUUGGUGCUUGCACCCAUUUGAAGAGCAGCGAACGGGUGAGUAACGCGUGGGGAAUCUGCCUUUGAGCGGGGGACAACAUUUGGAAACGAAUGCUAAUACCGCAUAACAACUUUAAACAUAAGAUUUAAGUUUGAAAGAUGCAAUUGCAUCACUCAAAGAUGAUCCCGCGUUGUAUUAGCUAGUUGGUGAGGUAAAGGCUCACCAAGGCGAUGAUACAUAGCCGACCUGAGAGGGUGAUCGGCCACAUUGGGACUGAGACACGGCCCAAACUCCUACGGGGAGCAGCAGUAGGGGAUCUUCGGCAAUUGACGAAAGUCUGACCGAGCAACGCCGCGUGAGUGAAGAAGGUUUUCGGAUCGUAAAACUCUGUUGGUAGAGAAGAACGUUGGUGAGAGUGGAAAGCUCAUCAAGUGACGGUAACUACCCAGAAAGGGACGGCUAACUACGUG